AUCCCAGAGCCGACGAAUCCGAGAGAGAAGGCCCUCUGCCUCUCCGCUGCUCUCAUCUCCAUCACAGGCCGCGGGAGAGACGACCGUCGACAGCCUCUCUGAGCCACGCCAAUCGCCGGGAACGAAAGCCUCGCCGAUGACGCCCUGAAGCACGCAUCGGAGCGCCGCUGUUUCGUCAUCAUUGUCGCCUGGCCGAAUCCAUCUAUCUCAAGCCAAGCCGCUGCGCCGUGAAGUUUGCCUCGACUUCCUCUUCAAGACGCCUCAAGAAUCACCAUCGGAGACACUAGGAGCACGGAGAACACGCCCCUUUUUCCUCGGCGCCGAUCUGAACCUGCCACCGUCGCUACUGCCGAAUCCAUCCUCUCCGUUCUUGGAGCUGUUCAAGCUAUCAUCGUCGACCCAGAGGAGAUUGCCGCCGCCGAGCAGUUGCACGAGUCGCCGUCACCCACCAAGCUUUGCCAGUCCUGUCUAGCAUCUCGAUAAUUGCAUAAUCGGUGAAGGACUGGAUUAGGUGCUAACGUUUCUCUGAUCAAGGCAAGUUUUCUCCUCCCAUCCUUUGAACACAUUGAAUCCCAUGAUUUGAGGAAUGAAAAUAUUUGUUUGCAAAGUUGCAUGUGAACUUAGACUAUAUCGGUAUUUAAAAUUGGGUUAAGGUAGUUAUGACCUAUUUGCUACAUACCCCCACCUUGAAUAAUUGAUCCUCUUGCUGUUUGAAACCCUAGAAAUGGUUAGAGUACACUCUUUGUGCUCAAAUGGGUUUAUAUAUGCUCUAUGUGCAACUACUUGCUUAGCCAUGCUUAGAAAUAUGCAAAUGCUCAUUCCAUCUAUAAUUAAAAUGUGAUUUUGAUACAUGAACCUUUGCUAGAAUAAAAUGAAUAUGAUGGGUAUUUGCGAACUAAAAUGUGUAAAAUGUGAUUUUAUACUUGGGCGGCAAGUGGUGUGCAUAUGGUGUUAGUUGCAUACCGAUAGGGGGAGUGUUUGCCCAAGUCCAUAAGGACCGAACUUGUGUCACCCAUUUAAAGUUAUUCGUACAUCCACAUGUGCUAGUAUGGGAUGGUCUAAGCUGAUUAAUCUAUUUAGGACUAGCCUUGCAUUCUGGUAGGCCGGUGUGUAUGAGUUCGUAUAAUUCAGAGGAGCUUCCUAUUUACCCCGACGUGGUAGUUUAGGUGACUAAACAUGUCCAAUACAACGGUAUUGUGCCACGUGGUGGGUUCCCGUCGUGUCCGCCACCACGGCGUUAAGUUUAAGGCGUGGGCCCACCACUUAACGGUUCUAGACAUAUUUCCAAGUAUGCCUAGGAUGGAGGAACACGUAUCGUGCUGGUGCAAGGCUAGAUUCUAAGUAGUGUAAAGGAUUCGUUGUGACCUCUAGUCCGCACUCAUAAUGUAGAGUGUGUGGUACUUGGCCGGCACUGAACCAACUAGAGUGUAGCCUCUAGGCUUCUAUCAUAUCAUGUGGGUAAAGGUGUACAAACUCUGCAGAGUUCUUUAAACUAAUCGAUUAGCCGUGCUCACAGUCAAGAGCGCUUUGGUGAUGUGUCAUGAGUAUUUAAACUAAUCGAUUAGCCGUGCUCACAGUCAAGAGCGCUUUGGUGAUGUGUCAUGAGUAUAGACUAUGUUUUAAAAAUGUAAUCAUGUGACAUUGGUUUGAAAUUGAUAAAUGUGUUGAGUUGUGUGUGUGGUGAUACAUUAUGACUUAUUGUUAAGUAUGACAAUAAGAGAUUGAUUAUGAUGGAAUUAUGAAGAAGUUAAUAAUGAAACUUAAAACUUGUCUUUGUUAAUUGAAGCAUCAACUCCUUUACAAAAGAAUUGCGAAACAAAACUUGCUUUAUGCUGAAAUUAAACUACAUAUUGCCUUCCUUUGAAUAUAUGUCUUACAUGUAGUAUGAUAGGAUUGAUUUGUGCUUGCCAGUACAUUAAACAAGUUAACUUGUUUAAUGUACUGACUUGCUGUUGAUAUAACCUUUUGUUUGCAGGUUUAGAUUUAGUCUUUGAGUGAUGCGGGUUCCGAUUGCUUCUUCUAGGAUGAGAACUUAAUGGGGUAAACCCCUAGUCGAUGUGCUUGUGAUUGGGUAGUCAAGCUUCCGCUGUUCUCUAAUAAGUCUAUUUGGCCGGUCGGUCUAUGUAAUUAUUAAGUUGUUGUAAGUCUUAAGUUUCUUUUAUCUUAGUUGUGUUUGCUAUGUAUAAUCAUGUUUAAGAUGAAAGUGUGAAUCUAGUGCACUAGUGCACAUCCUGGGAACUAGAUUUACAUGAGUAUGAGUUAGGAAUAUUUGAGAGGUUGUAGAUCUUU
rnacentral:sRNA from 1 species